rnacentral:rRNA from 1 species
GACGAACGCUGGCGGCGUGCUUAACACAUGCAAGUCGAACGGAAAGGCCCUGCUUUUGUGGGGUGCUCGAGUGGCGAACGGGUGAGUAACACGUGAGUAACCUGCCCUUGACUUUGGGAUAACUUCAGGAAACUGGGGCUAAUACCGGAUAGGAGCUCCUGCUGCAUGGUGGGGGUUGGAAAGUUUCGGCGGUUGGGGAUGGACUCGCGGCUUAUCAGCUUGUUGGUGGGGUAGUGGCUUACCAAGGCUUUGACGGGUAGCCGGCCUGAGAGGGUGACCGGCCACAUUGGGAAUGAGAUGAGGCCCAAAAUCCUACGGGAGGCAGCAGUGGGGAAUAUUGCAAGAUGGGCGGAAGCCUGAUGCAGCAACGCCGCGUGCGGGAUGACGGCCUUCGGGUUGUAAACCGCUUUCGCCUGUGACGAAGCGUGAGUGACGGUAAUGGGUAAAGAAGCACCGGCUAAAUACGUG